rnacentral:rRNA from 1 species
AUACGGAGGAUCCGAGCGUUAUCCGGAUUUAUUGGGUUUAAAGGGAGCGUAGGCGGACGCUUUAGUCAGUUGUGAAAGUUUGCGGCUCAACCGUAAAAUUGCAGUUGAUACUGGGUGUCUUGAGUACAGUAGAGGCAGGCGGAAUUCGUGGUGUAGCGGUGAAAUGCUUAGAUAUCACGAAGAACUCCGAUUGCGAAGGCAGCCUGCUGGACUGUAACUGACGCUGAUGCUCGAAAGUGUGGGUAUCAAACAGGAUUAGAUACCCUGGUAGUCCACACAGUAAACGAUGAAUACUCGCUGUUUGCGAUAUACAGUAAGCGGCCAAGCGAAAGCGUUAAGUAUUCCACCUGGGGAGUACGCCGGCAACGGUGAAACUCAAAUGAAUUGACGGGG